ACUAGCUAGCUUAUUCGCUCCAUCCCCACAUGGUUUCUUCCCCCACCGGCGCCGCCCCACCCCCAAGCUUCUUCCCGAGCUGGGUUUCUUCCCCAGCCGGCGCCAACCCAGCCCCAUCCGGCUUCUGCACCACCGGUGCCGCCACCACUAGGCAAUGACCUUACCGUGCCUAGCUCCUCCUCCUCCCCGUGGUCAUGGCGCCACCACGUCCCGUCCGGUGCAUUGCCCCAGCCCGGAUUUGCAUCCACAGCGGCCAGAUCCGCCUUCCAACCCCGACCUCCCUACCGGAACCUUCAUCUCGCAGCCGGCGGAGGCCCCGCCGACGGAAACGCCCCCGGUGGUUGGUCGUACAUCGCACCACCAACAACCUUGGCUUCCAGGGUCCCCCGUCUCCUUCCAUGGCGACCUCUGCUGUGUGGGACUUGGACCACCCCACCACCAGAUCCGUCCAGGGGAGGCAGAGGAGCUCCGGGCAGGGGUGCUCAAAGCCGCCACCAUCGACCACACGCGGUCACCACCUCCGUGCAGGGGCAGAUCCCCCGGGUGCUCUUCCCCCUAUCUUCACCAUCGUGGUACUCAAGCGCAAUAGAGACAGUGGUGGCGACCUUCUGCCUACUUCCCUCUUGGGAUUCCAUGGCGAUGAAGUAGGCGAGCUGCUCUUUUGUCGCUCAUGGGUGAGCGCGUGACGGGGCUGCUACUGGUCCGAGCUACCACCACCUCUCAUCCCGACGACAUCUACCUAUGUUUCGAGACACCUCACCUUCCGCUCAGUCUGGGUGUCUGUGGUGCAGUAUAGCCACAGUGGACGUGCGGUUCCGUGCUCGUGUAGGUGCGGGUCGUGGGCGCACCAGCGACGACGACAACAACGCCUUAAUCUCCCGCGAGUUCCCGUGCAGUUUGAACUCCCGCUUGUGCAGUACAGUUGACUAGUGUUAGGCGUAGUUUGUGGAUUGCAGGUUCAAUUCAAUGUUUGCUGAGUUCAAUGGAAUGUCAGGGUGCGGACUGUAGGUUCUUUGAGUGGCAUGAUGAUCCAAAUACUCCAUUUCUGAAUUCUCUGCUCGGUAACUUGCGUGAUACCGUGUAUCAUCUGAAAACAGAGAAGAAACAGUUGGAGGAAUCUCGAAUACAAGUUGAAGCUCGCAUGGACAAGGCUAUAGAUGUGGAGAUGGGCACGCAACAGAAGUAGAAGAAAUUCAUAGGAAAUUGAAAAAGAUUUAGAGAGAUGUGGCAGUUUGUCGAGAAAGAUGUGCCAGUAUGUCCAGACAUGUUUGUAUGUUCAGAAAAUUGUUUGUGGAGUUCAAAAUUUUGUAUGUUACUGAAGACCAACUGAAGGAAAAUUUGCUAUUUGCAGUACUGGCUUACACAGUACAUUUUUUUUGCUAUCUGACUAUAGAUGAUCUGAAUAGAAAUUGUGCUAUCUAUUUCA